rnacentral:rRNA from 1 species
AACGAACGCUGGCGGCAUGCCUAACACAUGCAAGUCGAACGAUGCCUUCGGGCAUAGUGGCGCACGGGUGUGUAACGCGUGGGGAUCUGCCCUUUGCUUCGGAAUAACAGUUAGAAAUGACUGCUAAUACCGGAUAAUGUCGCAAGACCAAAGAUUUAUCGGCAAAGGAUGAACCCGCGUAGGAUUAGCUAGUUGGUGGGUAAAGGCCUACCAAGGCGACGAUCCUUAGCUGGUCUGAGAGGAUGAUCAGCCACACUGGGACUGAGACACGGCCCAGACUCCUACGGGAGGCAGCAGUGGGAAUAUUGGACAAUGGGCGAAAGCCUGAUCCAGCAAUGCCGCGUGAGUGAUGAAGGCCUUAGGGUUGUAAAGCUCUUUUACCAGGGAUGAUAAUGACAGUACCUGGAGAAUAAGCUCCGGCUAACUCCGUGCCAGCAGCCGCGGUAAU